rnacentral:rRNA from 1 species
UACGUAGGGGGCGAGCGUUGUCCGGAUUUAUUGGGCGUAAAGAGCGUGUAGGCGGCCAGGUAGGUCGGUUGUGAAAACUGGAGGCUUAACCUUCAGACGUCGACCGAAACCAUCUGGCUAGAGUCCGGAAGAGGAGAGUGGAAUUCCUGGUGUAGCGGUGAAAUGCGCAGAUAUCUGGAGGAAUACCGGUGGCGAAGGCGGCAUCCUGGACCGGCAUUGACGCUGAGGAGCGAAAGCCAGGGGAGCAAACGGG